UGUAAACAUCCUACACUCUCAGCUGUGAACUCAAGGUGGCUGGGAGAGGGUUGUUUACGCC
rnacentral:pre_miRNA from 1 species